rnacentral:tRNA from 1 species
GGGGGUUGCUAACUCAAUGGUAGAGUACUCGGCUUUUAACCGACUAGUUCCGGGUUCGAGUC